AUUGAGCCGCCGUCAAAUUCAAUCACAAGUGAAAAUGGAUUUUUUAAUGCGACUAUUAGCUGCUUUUGAAAGGCAAAUUGAGUUCAGUUAUACCGAGUCAGUCAUCAAAAAACAAUUUGCCAUCAGCCAGACGGGCCGGAGAGGAGCCCGGCUGGGAGCAGCGGCUGCGCGCCGCGGAUCGGGAGAUCCGACACGGGAACCAUGGGGAAAUCCAGCUUUUCCUCCUCAAAAAUGCACUGGGAGCAGUCCAGGAAUUUCUACAGCAGCAUAAUCCAAAGAUCUGCUUUCAAAGAGCCUCUGCUUCCCGCAAAGCUCCAGCCUCGGCUAAUGAGAGCUUAACCACAUGUUUGUGGUAGAUGAAAUAGUAUCAUUUUGCAAUUA